rnacentral:lncRNA from 1 species
CUUCUCUGGCGAAAAAAUAGAUGACUUGGCAAAGCAGCCUCCAGAUGGCCCCAGAAUGCAGGCUCCCUUCUGGAGGUGCUUGGAUGGGAGUUGCUGUUGCUUCUAGCAAGCCAGAUUUGACAUGUGGCCACAGUCACAUGCUAGCCCUAGGCUAGCUUCCUGGAGCCCAGUUGCAAGGUUGGGGAUGGAGAGUUCAUUCUCUGAGCAAGCUGCACUCACAGGAUAGCUGUGGUCCCCACAAGGGAAACAAACUAAUCCAAACAAAAGAUGAAAAUAAACUAAGGAGCAACCACUACAAACAUGCUGAACCUGAGAGAGCUGCAGAAUGGACCACAUGAAGCUUCGAAUCCUCUCGCUCCUUGUCAAAAGAGCAAGCAGCGUGUUGGAAAAGUGUCUGAUUAAAGAUACUGGUAAAUGCAUCCCAUUUUUCCAUAUACAAUGUGACCAGCUGCCACAACCUCCUGAUACUGAGGCUUCCUUGCCACGAGGGACUGGCCCCACAGACUCUUUCACCUUUCUAGAGUCUUCAUCCAGUAGCUGUUGGAAGCAGAAGCAGAAAUUCACAGCCAAGCACUGAGCAGAACUCCUGGAAUCCAGCUGCCAAGAGGGAGGAGUGAUGAGCAGAGUGAAGACCAUGUUGGGGAAACCCACAGAAACAGCUGACCUGAGCAAGUGGAAGCUUAUUGACUCCAGUGUGACAGCUGAGGAACCACCAGAAAACCAAACCAGGACCUCUGAACUUGGGUAUCAGUAGGGGGGCCUGGGUAGUCUAUGGAGCCUCUUGUAAUGGAAUCAGUAUUUAUCCUUAGAGCAUGAAUGGGCUUUUAGAUCCCAAUCCCCGUGAAUGGAUACUCUCUCAGCCUAGAUACAGGGGGGAAGGCAUAGAUCCUGCCCCAAAUGAUGUGACAGAAUUUGAUGAUCCCCCAUGGGAGGCCACACACUCCCUGAGGAGUGGAUGGGGCGUUGUCGAGGGAGAAGGAACUGGGACUGGUAUGUAAAGUACGAUUGUUUUUAAUUUAAAGAAAAAAGAAAGAAGAAAAAAAAGAUAGGGCUUCUAAUAAACUUUCAACUAUCAAUUCUUGUUAGUUUAGCUAGCCCCUUUGUCCUAGUGGUCUUCUGUCUUUGCCUUCCAAGUGCUGGGAUUAAAGGAUUUCUGUAUUGACUGCCUUUUACAUAGGU